UACGUAGGGGGCUAGCGUUGUCCGGAAUUAUUGGGCGUAAAGGGCUCGUAGGCGGUCUGUUGCGUCGGGAGUGAAAACUCAGGGCUUAACCCUGAGCCUGCUUCCGAUACGGGCAGACUAGAGGUAUGCAGGGGAGAACGGAAUUCCUGGUGUAGCGGUGAAAUGCGUAGAUAUCGGGAGGAACAUCAGUGGCGAAGGCGGCCCUCUGGUCCAGUACUGACACUCAAGUGCGAAAGCGUGGGGAGCAAACAGG
rnacentral:rRNA from 1 species